AUUGAACGCUGGCGGCAUGCCUUACACAUGCAAGUCGAACGGUAACAGGUCUUCGGAUGCUGACGAGUGGCGAGCGGGUGAGUAAUACAUCGGAACGUGCCUAGUAGUGGGGGAUAACUACUCGAAAGAGUGGCUAAUACCGCAUGAGAUCUACGGAUGAAAGCAGGGGAUCGCAAGACCUUGUGCUACUAGAGCGGCCGAUGGCAGAUUAGGUAGUUGGUGGGAUAAAAGCUUACCAAGCCGACGAUCUGUAGCUGGUCUGAGAGGACGUUCAGCCACACUGGGACUGAGACACGGCCCAGACUCAUACGGGAGGCAGCAGUGGGGAAUUUUGGACAAUGGGCGAAAGCCUGAUCCAGCAAUGCCGCGUGCAGGAUGAAGGCCUUCGGGUUGUAAACUGCUUUUGUACGGAACGAAAAGCCCCGGGUUAAUACCCUGGGGUCAUGACGGUACCGUAAGAAUAAGCACCGGCUAACUACGUGCCAGCCGCCGCGGUAA
rnacentral:rRNA from 1 species